UGAGGAAUAUUGGUCAAUGGACGCAAGUCUGAACCAGCCAUGCCGCGUGAAGGAUGAAGGCCUUCUGGGUUGUAAACUUCUUUUACCUGGGAAGAAACCCCAAUUUUCUAAUUGAGUUGACGGUACCAGAGGAAUAAGCACCGGCUAACUCCGUGCCAGCAGCCGCGGUAAUACGGAGGGUGCAAGCGUUAUCCGGAUUUACUGGGUUUAAAGGGUGUGUAGGCGGGUCUUUAAGUCAGUGGUGAAAUCUCCGAGCUCAACUUGGAAACUGCCAUUGAUACUAUUGAUCUUGAAUUUUGUUGAGGUAGGCGGAAUAAGUCAUGUAGCGGUGAAAUGCAUAGAUAUGACUUAGAACACCAAUUGCGAAGGCAGCUUGCUAAACAAAUAUUGACGCUGAGGCACGAAAGCGUGGGGAUCAAACAGGAUUAGAUACCCCUGUAGUCC
rnacentral:rRNA from 1 species